CCGCCAUCAUCAUUUCUGCCGUCAUCAGUCUUGUGGACUAUCAGGCAGCAAUUUUGAUCUGGAAGACUGAUAAAUUCGAUUUUGUUGCCUGCAUGGGAGCAUUCUUUGGGGUUGUUUUCGUCUCGGUUGAGAUAGGACUUCUAAUUGCUGUAAGUACCAAAUCUUAGUUAUCCUAUGCUCUAAAUUGUCAAAGUAAUUCCUAAUAGGGGAGGGUGUACAUAAGACAUAAUAUUCUUCAAACCAACCUUAAAUUUAAAUACUAGGAAUAAGUAGGACAAGAAGAAAUUGACAUGAAACACAAGCUAAGUAAAAUUAUUAGAUUCUCGCAUAGCAUAACCAGAGUCUAUGUACUUUAUGAUAAAUUAUGACAUUGCUAAGUAAACAGAUAAUAUCACAGCAAUUUAAACGCGGAAUACAUUUUUAGAUAAAUGAAAAUAUGAAAUAAUAUUAAAACUAAAAAUCACACAUGAGAGUAACCAAAAGGUUUAAUGAGACCUUAUUUUUGUGACAGGUUUCAAUAUCUUUUGCAAAGAUCCUAUUACAAGUGACAAGGCCAAGAACUGCUAUUUUGGGGAAGAUUCCUGGGACAUCUGUCUAUAGAAACAUCCAACAAUACACUGAAGCUAGUAAGGUUCCAGGUGUAAUGAUUGUAAGAGUUGAUUCUGCUAUAUAUUUUUCCAACUCCAACUAUGUUAAAGAAAGGUAAAUAAUAUCUUCCUCCUUUGUUUAUACAUUUGAAACAGUCCAAUUUGAACUUUUCCUUAAGACUUAAGAUUGUAUUCUUUUGCAGAAUAUUAAGAUGGCUAACGGAUGAAGAAGCAGUGAAAGGAGACUACCAUACAAGAAUUCAGUUUUUGAUAGUUGAAAUGUCACGUUAGUAUAUAUACUUAUUUUUGUCCUUAAUUUGUUUUAGCCUCAUAUUCCUUGAGUAAUUUAUUUUAGACUAACCAAUUGUGAUUAUAUGUUGCAGCGGUUACUGACAUCGAUACGAGUGGCAUCCAUGCCUUUGAAGAGUUGCAUAGAAGUCUUGAAAAAAGAGGUGUUCAGGUAACAAAAUUAAUCAUAUCAGCUAGGAUUUAUCAUUUAUGUAUAUGAAGAAGCUUGGUUCAUUUAUAUACUAUAUGAUAUAAAUCAUGAUACUAUAUGAUAGGAAAAGUUAAUAUGUUAAUUCUUACCAAGAAUGUGUUACUUGUUUGAGCAGCUUGUUCUGGCAAAUCCUGGUUCAGCAGUGACAGACAAACUUUACACAUCAAAUUUUGCUAACAUAAUUGGUCAGGACAACAUUUUCCUCACUGUUGCAGCAGCUGUUGCAAAUUGUGC
rnacentral:lncRNA from 1 species